AACGAACGCUGGCGGCAUGCCUAACACAUGCAAGUCGAACGAUCCCUUCGGGGAUAGUGGCGCACGGGUGCGUAACGCGUGGGAACCUGCCCUUAGGUACGGAAUAACUCAGAGAAAUUUGAGCUAAUACCGGAUAAUGUCUUCGGACCAAAGAUUUAUCGCCUUUGGAUGGGCCCGCGUUGGAUUAGCUAGUUGGUGGGGUAAAGGCCUACCAAGGCGACGAUCCAUAGCUGGUCUGAGAGGAUGAUCAGCCACACUGGGACUGAGACACGGCCCAGACUCCUACGGGAGGCAGCAGUGGGGAAUAUUGGACAAUGGGCGAAAGCCUGAUCCAGCAAUGCCGCGUGAGUGAUGAAGGCCUUAGGGUUGUAAAGCUCUUUUACCCGGGAUGAUAAUGACAGUACCGGGAGAAUAAGCCCCGGCUAACUCCGUG
rnacentral:rRNA from 1 species